rnacentral:rRNA from 1 species
GGCUUAGAGUUUGAUCAUGGCUCAGGAUGAACGCUGGCGGCGUGCCUAACACAUGCAAGUCGAACGAAGCACUUUAUUACGAUUUCUUCGGAAUGACGAUUUGGUGACUGAGUGGCGGACGGGUGAGUAACGCGUGGAUAACCUGCCCCAUACAGGGGGAUAACAGUUAGAAAUGACUGCUAAUACCGCAUAAGCGCACAGUAUCGCAUGAUACGGUGUGAAAAACUCCGGUGGUAUGGGAUGGAUCCGCGUCUGAUUAGCCAGUUGGCGGGGUAGAGGCCCACCAAAGCGACGAUCAGUAGCCGACCUGAGAGGGUGACCGGCCACAUUGGGACUGAGACACGGCCCAAACUCCUACGGGAGGCAGCAGUGGGGAAUAUUGCACAAUGGGGGAAACCCUGAUGCAGCGACGCCGCGUGAGCGAAGAAGUAUUUCGGUAUGUAAAGCUCUAUCAGCAGGGAAGAAGAAAGUGACGGUACCUGACUAAGAAGCUCCGGCUAAAUACGUGCCAGCAGCCGCGGUAAUACGUAUGGAGCAAGCGUUAUCCGGAUUUACUGGGUGUAAAGGGAGCGUAGGCGGUGCUAUAAGUCUGAUGUGAAAGCCCGGGGCUCAACCGCGGGACUGCAUUGGAAACUGUAGGACUGGAGUGUCGGAGGGGUAAGUG